rnacentral:lncRNA from 1 species
GCUCUUUGCACAUUUUUUGCAAACAACCCUGGAAAGUUGAGCCCCAGCCUGGCAGUGUUCACUCCACUGUGGCCGCCAGCUCUGCCGUUGUCCCAGGGUCACAGUGCAUGUUCAACUUGGAUAAAAUAUAUAAAGUUGAGGGCUGUUUAAACAUAGCGAAAGUAGACUUCAGUGCCUUAACCUGAAAGGGAGAGGAGUUUCACAUUUCUUUCAUGAAGCUAAUGCACUCAAACAGAACUUUACUUGGAGAGAAAAAUGGCUCCCUAUUUUCCCACUAGUAAUUUUCCCCCAUCUUCUUCCUUUUUUAUUUUUAGCCUGAAGAACUCGAAAUGGCUAGAGUCUCUGGAAGGGAAAGAGGAAGGACUUACCUGCGCCAGCCCAGUGAAGAGAAGAGUGGAACAGAGGAGCCCCUGCAUGUCGCUGGGAUGCAGCUGGCCUUAGAGAUGGGAAAGUGGGGGCUCCUCAUGCUGGGGACACACAAAGCUUCCCUGUCUUCUCUGAAGGAGCCGCCUCCACCUCCGGGCACUGGCUUCCACACUGGCUUUCCUUUCAGUACCCUGCUUACUUUCAUGUGUCUCUUCCAGAAAUACCUUCACAGCUAGGAUGAAGUGUGUCAGGAGAGGGCCAGGGCUUUCCUCCAGGGAUUCAAGGGCAGAUCCAGCGAUGGCUUUUCUUUAAGUAAAUGUGCUCACUUUUCCGGAGAUCAGAGUCUGCCCUUGGGCAAAAUGGAGGCAUUACUUUCCAUUCCUGGCCCUCUGCCUCUCCUCUGUGAUUUCCCUGCUCCAGCUCCUCUCUGGGCUGCUUUCCUUCCUCCUUUGCCCUCAAGCAGAGGGCUAGCCUGGUCUCUCCGCUUCCUGCCUCAUCACAGCCUGGCCCUGUUGAUGGGUUUCUCACUUCCCAUCAACAACCAAUUUCUAAAAGGCCAUUUCUGAUUCGCCAGCUGUUGACUUUCGGACGUUUCCACAUGCUCUGCAUUAAACACAAUCCUCACACCAGGUGGACCAUGAUUGGAAAGGAAAAACCCAGCCUGAGAAAAGCUACUUUCUGUGGCCACAAUUCCAUGGCAAAUAAAAGUAAAGCUAACUCCAAUCUUCCCAAGCCUAUGAUCAAACGUUUGUGCUAGUAACAGUCAUUUGGAUUAAAGUUUUGUUUUAAAAACUUAUUACAAG